GAGAUUGUGGCUCAGUGGUAGAGCACUUGCCUGGCAUGUGUGAGGCCCUGUGUUCAAUCUCA
rnacentral:tRNA from 1 species